rnacentral:rRNA from 1 species
AUGAACGCUGGCGGCGUGCCUAAUGCAUGCCAGUCGAGCGAACAGAUGAGGAGCUUGCUCCUCUGACGUUAGCGGCGGACGGGUGAGUAACACGUGGAUAACCUACCUAUAAGACUGGGAUAACUUCGGGAAACCGGAGCUAAUACCGGAUAAUAUAUUGAACCGCAUGGUUCAAUAGUGAAAGACGGUUUUGCUGUCACUUAUAGAUGGAUCCGCGCCGCAUUAGCUAGUUGGUAAGGUAACGGCUUACCAAGGCAACGAUGCGUAGCCGACCUGAGAGGGUGAUCGGCCACACUGGAACUGAGACACGGUCCAGACUCCUACGGGAGGCAGCAGUAGGGAAUCUUCCGCAAUGGGCGAAAGCCUGACGGAGCAACGCCGCGUGAGUGAUGAAGGUCUUCGGAUCGUAAAACUCUGUUAUUAGGGAAGAACAAAUGUGUAAGUAACUAUGCACGUCUUGACGGUACCUAAUCAGAAAGCCACGGCUAACUACGUG